GAUUAACGCUAGCGGCAGGCCUAAUACAUGCAAGUCGAGGGGUAACAGGGUAGCAAUACCGCUGACGACCGGCGCACGGGUGAGUAACACGUAUGCAACCUACCUAUAACUGGGGAAUAGCCUUCCGAAAGGAAGAUUAACACCGCAUAACAUCACGAAACGGCAUCGUUUUGUGAUCAAACCUCCGGGGGUUAUAGAUGGGCAUGCGUAACAUUAGCUAGUUGGUGAGGUAACGGCNCACCAAGGCGACGAUGUUUAGGGGUCUGAGAGGAUGAUCCCCACACUGGUACUGAGACACGGACCAGACUCCUACGGGAGGCAGCAGUAAGGAAUAUUGGACAAUGGGGGCAACCCUGAUCCAGCCAUUGCCGCGUGAAGGAUGAAGGCGCUCUGCGUCGUAAACUUCUUUUACUCGAGAAAAAUUGUUGGGUUUCUACCU
rnacentral:rRNA from 1 species